rnacentral:SRP_RNA from 1 species
GCCAGACACAGUGGCUUGUGCCUGUAAUCCAAGUGCCAGGGUGGCUGAGGCUGAUUGAUAGCUUGAGCCCCGGGGUUCUGGGCUGCAGUGAGCUGGUCAGAGCAGGUGUCUGUGCUAAGGCCAGCAUCGGUGUGGUGGUCCUGGGGGAGCCAGGGGCUACUAGGUUGCCUAAGGAAGGAUGAACUGGCCCAUAUUGGAGAUGGAGCAGCUUCUGUGCCGCUCAGUAGUGGGAUGGUGUGUGUAAACAGUCCCUGUAGUGCCGCCCGAGACCUGUUUUUAUUU